rnacentral:rRNA from 2 species
AUGGAGCACGCCGCGUGAGUGAAGAAGGGUUUCGGCUCGUAAAACUCUGUUGUUAAAGAAGAACAUAUCUGAGAGUAACUGUUCAGGUAUUGACGGUAUUUAACCAGAAAGCCACGGCUAACUACGUGCCAGCAGCCGCGGUAAUACGUAGGUGGCAAGCGUUGUCCGGAUUUAUUGGGCGUAAAGCGAGCGCAGGCGGUUUUUUAAGUCUGAUGUGAAAGCCUUCGGCUCAACCGAAGAAGUGCAUCGGAAACUGGGAAACUUGAGUGCAGAAGAGGACAGUGGAACUCCAUGUGUAGCGGUGAAAUGCGUAGAUAUAUGGAAGAACACCAGUGGCGAAGGCGGCUGUCUGGUCUGUAACUGACGCUGAGGCUCGAAAGUAUGGGUAGCAAACAGGAUUAGAUACCCUGGUAGUCCAUACCGUAAACGAUGAAUGCUAAGUGUUGGAGGGUUUCCGCCCUUCAGUGCUGCAGCUAACGCAUUAAGCAUUCCGCCUGGGGAGUACGGCCGCAAGGCUGAAACUCAAAGGAAUUGACGGGGGCCCGCACAAGCGGUGGAGCAUGUGGUUUAAUUCGAAGCUACGCGAAGAACCUUACCAGGUCUUGACAUACUAUGCAAAUCUAAGAGAUUAGACGUUCCCUUCGGGGACAUGGAUACAGGUGGUGCAUGGUUGUCGUCAGCUCGUGUCGUGAGAUGUUGGGUUAAGUCCCGCAACGAGCGCAACCCUUAUUAUCAGUUGCCAGCAUUAAGUUGGGCACUCUGGUGAGACUGCCGGUGACAAACCGGAGGAAGGUGGGGAUGACGUCAAAUCAUCAUGCCCCUUAUGACCUGGGCUACACACGUGCUAC